AUAACUAAAUUAAUAAAUUGAAUUAAUUAAUUUGGAAUUAGUGGUCUUUCAUAAGCAAAAACGUGUAAGGGAAAAACAAAAGAAAAUCUCUUCUUCUUUCAUCUUCCUUGCCACCCCAUCUUCCUCCCAAGUUCCUCCAUGAGUGGACUUCCAUGUAAGCUUACUUUUAAGCUUAGUUUUCUUCACUUAAUUCAAAUAACUCCAUUAAAAACCUCCCUAGAGCUUAUUGUUACAACUUGAGAAGAGGAUUACAAGAAGAAGGAAGAGUUAAAGAUAGGGUUUUGAAGCUUUAACAAAAGUUGAAAAGAAUAUCGGGAAGGAACCCGAGGAACCGAGUCGAGGCUAAAGGACGACUCGUUUGAGAUACAGAGAUUAGAGGAGCAGCAGA